UGAGGUUUGGCUCAGUGGUAGAGCGCUUGCUUAGCAUGCAUGAGGCAGUGGGUUUUGAGCUUCAG
rnacentral:tRNA from 1 species